GCGGGAAUAGCUCAGUUGGUAGAGCGCAACCUUGCCAAGGUUGAGGUCGCGAGUUCGAAUCUCGUUUCCCGCUCCA
rnacentral:tRNA from 50 species